rnacentral:rRNA from 1 species
UACGUAGGUGGCAAGCGUUGUCCGGAAUCAUUGGGCGUAAAGAGCGCGUAGGCGGCCCGGUAAGUCCGCUGUAAAAGUCCAGGGCUCAACCCUGGAAUGCCGGUGGAUACUGUCGGGCUAGAGUCCGGAAGGGGCGAGUGGAAUUCCUGGUGUAGCGGUGAAAUGCGCAGAUAUCAGGAGGAACACCAAUGGCGAAGGCAGCUCGCUGGGACGUGACUGACGCUGAGACGCGAAAGCGUGGGAGC